CUGCAGUGAUGUUAGUCUCCCUCUGAAUUAACCCUUGACGUGCAAACACAUGAGCUUUUUCUUCUUUUUAAUUCUGAGCAGU
ensembl:snoRNA SNORD36 Small nucleolar RNA SNORD36